rnacentral:misc_RNA from 1 species
GAUGAAGAACGUAGCGAAAUGCGAUAAGUAAUGUGAAUUGCGGAAUUCAGUGAAUCAUCGAAUCUUUGAACGCACAUUGCGCCCCCCAGUAUUCUGGCGGGCAUGCCUGUUCGAGCGUCAUUUCAACCAUCAAGCCCUGCUUGUGUUGGGGUCCUGCGGCUGCCCGCAGGCCCUGAAAACCAGUGGCGGGCUCGCUAGUCACACCGAGCGCAGUAGCACAUCUCGCUCAGGGCGUGCGGCGGGCUCCAGCCGUUAAAGCACCCACCUUUCGCAAGGUUGACCUCGGAUCAGGUAGGAAUACCCGCUGAACUUAAGCAUAUCAAUAAGCGGAGGA